ensembl:lncRNA novel transcript
ACUUGCACAUUAAUUAUGUUGCUUGAUCGCCGAGCAUUGGGUGUCUGUCUAUUGUCCUAGAUGAGGCUGGAAAUAUUCUUCAGCUCAAUAGUUUGAGUCGCCAUGAAGUUUUGACUACCUCCUUCAGCCCUAGGAUUCCUCAACUGACCGCUGGCUCUAUCUCUCAGCAAAUCUUCCCGUCCCACUGGACACAUGGAAACUUUGGAUCUCUAUGCAACAAUCAAAGGGAACAAGCAACUGUAGGGAAAGUAGGAAGUCCAACAAUUUCUUCUUCAUAGACCGUUUUGCCUGAUCUUCCUGAGGAAAGAGAGCUAGAAGACAUAGACAAGGAUGAGAAGAGCUAUUCUUAGGGGAGAGCCAGAUUUCAGUAUGUGCUCAUGUUUGGGAGCUUAUGCUCUGGAAUCACCGGCUUCAGACCUUGACUCUACCACUUGAUGUGGGAUGAGAAAACUGGUCCAGAGAAGGGGACUUGAUGAUGCCAGUGACAGAACCAGGAUGAUAACUCGCAUCUCCUGAUUCUCUUGCGCUUUAUUUCAUCACACAUAUGAAAGAAGAUGAGAAACGUUCAGCAUUCAGUAGUGGGGACCACUUUGAGAUUAGUUUGUCAAUUGCCAUAUAAGUAUGCUUUUGCUUGGUAUAUCUGUGUAAAGCAAUAUGUACUCUAUGUACUAAAGGUACAUGAUAAUUGUGACUUGAGGACAAUACAAAGACUGACUGGUUUGUGAUUAAACAUUUCACAUAGUAGUAGGUGCUUGGAUAUUAUUAUCUUUAAAACAAAUGUAAAACUGAUUUCAAACUAAAGCAUGAGUAUUUUAACAAAUAUAUCAAAUAUCAGAGAGGAAGGAGGAAGGAUUUUAGAACAAUGAACCUGGAAAAUGUGAUUAUUUUUGACAUGUUUUCACAUUCCUACAAUACAAGUCACUUGAUAAAAAUGACCUAAAAAGUUUUUCUUUUUUUUUCUGUGCCAUCUUCUCAGCUCCCAACCAUGUCAUUUUAACUAACAGAACUGCAGCCUAUUUGUACUUUUUUCCUUCUGCAUCAGUUUCGAUUCCUUUUUAUAUACUUGCUUUUAUCUAGGUGUCACAUUCUCUCUAAAUGAUAGAUUGUAAUCUUAGCCAUAGGAAAAAAAAAAGGAAACUUAGAAAAUGGAUGGAUUUGAUUUUAAGAGAUGUAGGCUAGGCACGUGGCAGCUACAGAGAAGUGAGCCUCUAGUGAAUGCUAGCAUUAUAUGUGUUUUAUAUUAACCCUUGGUUCCAAGCAUAUAAAAAUAUUUUGUAAGAAAUUUCUUCAUGUAUUUUGUAAAAUUAUUGUAAAAGUCCUUCCUCCUCAAGUCUCUGAGGAUAAUCCAAAAUCUUUGGCAGUUUUAAGAAUCAGGAAUAUGAAUUUUAUUCUCAAAUACAUUUCAUCUCUCACUUUAAUUAUGUGUAAAGUGGUCAUGUAUUCAUUUAUAUAUAUAUUUAUAUAUAUAGAAAAUUUACUAAUGUCAUAUAAAGGAAAUAUUUAGCAAUGUGAAUGAGAAAUGAAUAAAACUUUCAUAGAACCUAUAGUCUAAUAGAGGAGGCACGGAAGUAAAGAGACAAUUAUAACAUAACGUGACAGACCUUAACCAUAGGGGUGUAGAAAUAGUGCUGGAAGGAAUAAAGUUGUGGCUUCUGUAAAGCAGGGACUGCGCUGAAAACAUGUUUUGGUUUUGUUAAAAAGAGCAUAUCUGCUCACUGAGUUGAAGUUCUGUGCAUAGACAGAUGAUUCAAGGAUCCUCAUUCAAUAAAUCAGGAAGGCAUCAUGCUUUCCAGUUCUUAUUGACAGUGUGUAAAAUAGAUUUUAAAAACAGCUGAAUCUAGAGGGGGAAUGCAGGGCAAAUCAAAUUAUUUAAAUGAUUUCUCCACCCCAGUGAAGUUUAAAGAACCAUAUUUAGAAGAAGAAUCUAAUUUCACAUGCAACUGAUUAAGUUUUACAUGAGUUUGAAAGGGAAAUGGUUUGGGGCAUGAGAGAAGUCGGGGAAAAUGUCAAAUUCUGCUGAACCAGAUUUCCCAGUGUGGUUUUAUUUUCAGUUUGUAAUGGAGUUUCAGAGUCUCACACUCACGUUUUAGGUAUAACUGUUAACACAGAAACCUAUUUAAUAGUUAUAUAAAAUAUUCUUAAUAGUAUUAACAAUGCAGUUUCUUCAUUAUUUGAGCAGAUGAUUGAGAGGUGAUUGUUUUGCAAUGAGAAUCUUCCAUAGAAUACAAUCAGUACCAGUUAUUGAGACCUGUGUCAGGCACUGUUCUACCUGCCUUAUAUGUGUUCAUUCAUUUAGCUUUAUAACAUCCAUAAAAAGUACAGGAAAAUAUUAUCUCUAUUUUAUGGAUACAAAAAGUUAGGUCAGAGAAAGUGCUUUCCCAAUGUCACACACCUAUUAAGUGGUGAAAAUGUGAUGAUCUCUUUAAGGAGUCACUUUUCAAUCUCAAAUUCAGGAAUUUAAAUUUUGUAUUCAAGCUUCCACAGAUCUAUUUUUAACAAUAGGCCUAGAUGUUCAGAGAAUAUUUUAAAAUUUUUAUGUUUUCUGGAUACACUUUAUAUUAGGAAACUUUGGAUUUAAUUAUCUGAGAUGAUGUAACCCCACUUUAAAAUUUGAUUUUAUUCAACCAACAGGAAUAGCAAGGAGACAUGUACUAUCAGACAUAUAAUGAAAAUAAUCAUUAGAAGGAAAAUUGACAUAUACUAUUUUUAAAUAACUCACAUUUAUUUAGUGUAUUACAGUUUACAAAGCACAAAUAUCUGUCUGUGUUAAUCUUACACUUCUUCUUGCUACCAUAUUUUAAUUUGUACCAACAUCUUGCUUUAUGUAUUCUUUUACUUUCUCUCCAUGUAUUUCCACCAGUUACUCUUUUCUCUAUUUUUAUUUCUUAGAAUAUUUUGGUGAAAAUUUAGCUCAAAAGUUCUAAAUGAGUAAGGUCUUUUUUUCCCAUAUGCUAAUCUUGGGGACUAGUCUUCAUUCUGGAUCACCGUUAUUGAUCCACACAGUGGUUUAAGUUUCUUUCUGAGCCUGGGAUGGAGACAGGUAGGAAGGCAGAAUGAAGUUCUAUACACACAGAAGCUUACUGCCUUGGUUGCUACAGACUAACACUCUGCCUAUGUUCUUUGUCCCAUGUCCCUAGCUUCUAGGGAUAGUGCUCUGAAGUGCCCUCAAAGUAAUUUUGUUUUAAAUCCUAUCCUUUCUCCACGUGCCACACAACAUUCUGAUGUCACUUCUGUUUCCUCACAACAGCAGAGUUGUGACAAGUGUGUAUUUGACAAUCAAGUGAGACAAGCCCAUAAGAGAACUCAUUAAGAUUUUAUCCUGAUAAUCAGACCUAGAAUCUUAUUUAAGGGGAAAUCAAAAACAACAACAACACACCUAUCACAUAAGAAUCUUAGAUCAAAAUCAUCCAAAAUGUCUUCAAAUGAGCCACUUAUAUCCCCAACUUUUUGUUUCGUCGUGUAGAUCUUGGUGGGGUAUACAUAUGCACUAUGAUAGAAAAAAUAAGACCUAGUGUUUGAUAAAUUCGUAGGGUAUUAUGAUUUACAAUAAUCCAUUGUAUAGCUCAAAAUAACUAGAAGAGAAUAAUUUGAAUGUUUGUAGUGUAAAGACAAAUAUUUAAGGUGACAGAUAUCCCAAUUAUACAAAUUUGAUCUUUACAAAUUGUAUGCAUAUAUUGUUAUCACAUGUAUCCUGAAAUUAUGUACAUCUAUUAUGUAUCAGUAAAAAAGAAUCAGUUGUGAUUUGAUCAAGAGGACUAAUCUCUUGGGGAUUGGAGCAUGGGAGGAGGGAGAAGAUGGAGUAUUUCUAUCCCUCCUCUGAAUCAGGUUUGCUGCAGUUCCCACAAUAAUUGUGUUCCUCCAUAGCUUUCACUUUCUCUGCCCUAUGGUAACACUCUUCCUUCCCUUCAGCCCUGCAACCCAAGGAGGCUAAUGGUUUCCCAUUCUUGUCAACACCGAUGUGUCUCAGACCCUCAGUUGGUUCCAUUAAUCCUGUCCAUACUUAUGUUAAAUAUCUCUUCAUUAAAUUCUCAGAAUUUCAGCUGAGUGUGUCAUCUGUUUCCUUCUGGCAUCCUCACUGAUGUACACCUAUUUUAAAACCCUGAAUUUCCCUAGUAAGUAUCCUAGAGCUAAAGCCUCAGUGAGAACCUGGCUGAGCAGGCAGGUUGCUCAGCCAGGUUCUCUGAGCACCUGGCUGGAGCCAGGCAACAUUUGAAGCAAGUACUGCCUAAGCACAUUACAAUGAUGGACAACCUCACAGCCUGGGAUGUAGGACAUGUCUUCACUGUAUUCAGUUCAUUCUAUAUUAUUGUUAUUUAUAUGAUGCCCCUCUUAGGACCAGAUCCUGUAUCAAUUUAUUUUUUUGUUUUUAUUUUGUAAGUGGCAGAAAACACUAACUUAAAAAGGCCUAAAUCUUAAAGAAGAUGCAUUAUCUUCUGUAAUAUAAAUCCAAAAGCAGGAAAGACUUAGUCAAAAUUUUAUUAGGGCAAAAAUUCUGUUAUUUUUGUAUCUUCCCUCUUCAGUUGUCAUGCUUACUUCAUUCUCAGGGUGGCUUCCCUCAGGGUUCCAACAUGGUUGCCAAGGGCAAACAGGACUACAAGCUUCUUGAUUUACACUGGGAAAUAGCCCUUGGCCCCUCACAACGAUCAUACUCAUAUCCUUGGCUUUACGGUGUAUGACUAACAGCAACAAUAAUUAUUUUUAAAAAUUAGGUAGGAGACAAAGAUCUCAUGUGACUUGGUAUAAAAAUAUAUAAAUUCUGGAUAUUUGAAUAUAAGAGGGAUGUUUUUAUUUUUCCUUAAAUAUUAGAUGAUAGGAAAAUACAUUCAGAAACUUAACUAUAUUUUUUGUGACAAAAUGACUUUUAAUAUUGUUUCAUAACAACUCUUCCAACUUGUGCCAGCCUACACUUAGCCUUUUUACUUACAUUAGCAUUGAGAGAAAAGCCAUCUUGCUCACAGCAUCAUUGUU